UACGUAGGGUCCAAGCGUUGUCCGGAUUUAUUGGGCGUAAAGAGCUCGUAGGCGGUUCGGUAAGUCGGAUGUGAAAACUCAGGGCUCAACCCCGAGACGCCAUCCGAUACUGCUGUGACUUGAAUCUGGUAGGGGGGCACGGAAUUCCUGGUGUAGCGGUGAAAUGCGCAGAUAUCAGGAGGAACACCAAUGGCGAAGGCAGCUCGCUGGAACGGUACUGACGCUGAGGCGCGAAAGCGUGGGGAGCAAACAGG
rnacentral:rRNA from 1 species